GAUGAACGCUGGCGGCGUGCCUAAUACAUGCAAGUCGAGCGAAUGGAUUGAGAGCUUGCUCUUAUGAAGUUAGCGGCGGACGGGUGAGUAACACGUGGGUAACCUGCCCAUAAGACUGGGAUAACUCCGGGAAACCGGGGCUAAUACCGGAUAACAUUUUGAACCGCAUGGUUCGAAAUUGAAAGGCGGCUUCGGCUGUCACUUAUGGAUGGACCCGCGUCGCAUUAGCUAGUUGGUGAGGCAACGGCUCACCAAGGCAACGAUGCGUAGCCGACCUGAGAGGGUGAGCGGCCACACUGGGACUGAGACACGGCCCAGACUCCUACGGGAGGCAGCAGUAGGGAAUCUUCCGCAAUGGACGAAAGUCUGACGGAGCAACGCCGCGUGAGUGAUGAAGGCUUUCGGGUCGUAAAACUCUGUUGUUAGGGAAGAACAAGUGCUAGUUGAAUAAGCUGGCACCUUGACGGUACCUAACCAGAAAGCCACGGCUAACUACGUGCCAGCCGCCGCGGUAA
rnacentral:rRNA from 1 species